CGGACGGGUGAGUAACACGUGGGUAACCUGCCUGUAAGACUGGGAUAACUCCGGGAAACCGGAGCUAAUACCGGAUAGUUCCUUGAACCGCAUGGUUCAAGGAUGAAAGACGGUUUCGGCUGUCACUUACAGAUGGACCCGCGGCGCAUUAGCUAGUUGGUGGGGUAAUGGCUCACCAAGGCGACGAUGCGUAGCCGACCUGAGAGGGUGAUCGGCCACACUGGGACUGAGACACGGCCCAGACUCCUACGGGAGGCAGCAGUAGGGAAUCUUCCGCAAUGGACGAAAGUCUGACGGAGCAACGCCGCGUGAGUGAUGAAGGUUUUCGGAUCGUAAAGCUCUGUUGUUAGGGAAGAACAAGUGCGAGAGUAACUGCUCGCACCUUGACGGUACCUAACCAGAAAGCCACGGCUAACUACGUGCCAGCAGCCGCGGUAAUACGUAGGUGGCAAGCGUUGUCCGGAAUUAUUGGGCGUAAAGGGCUCGCAGGCGGUUUCUUAAGUCUGAUGUGAAAGCCCCCGGCUCAACCGGGGAGGGUCAUUGGAAACUGGGAAACUUGAGUGCAGAAGAGGAGAGUGGAAUUCCACGUGUAGCGGUGAAAUGCGUAGAGAUGUGGAGGAACACCAGUGGCGAAGGCGACUCUCUGGUCUUGUAACUGACGCUGAGGAGCGAAAGCGUGGGGAGCGAACAGGAUUAGAUACCCUGGUAGUCCACGCCGUAAACGAUGAGUGCUAAGUGUUAGGGGGUUUCCGCCCCUUAGUGCUGCAGCUAACGCAUUAAGCACUCCGCCUGGGGAGUACGGUCGCAAGACUGAAACUCAAAGGAAUUGACGGGGGCCCGCACAAGCGGUGGAGCAUGUGGUUUAAUUCGAAGCAACGCGAAGAACCUUACCAGGUCUUGACAUCCUCUGACAACCCUAGAGAUAGGGCUUUCCCUUCGGGGACAGAGUGACAGGUGGUGCAUGGUUGUCGUCAGCUCGUGUCGUGAGAUGUUGGGUUAAGUCCCGCAACGAGCGCAACCCUUGAUCUUAGUUGCCAGCAUUCAGUUGGGCACUCUAAGGUGACUGCCGGUGACAAACCGGAGGAAGGUGGGGAUGACGUCAAAUCAUCAUGCCCCUUAUGACCUGGGCUACACACGUGCUACAAUGGACAGAACAAAGGGCUGCAAGACCGCAAGGUUUAGCCAAUCCCAUAAAUCUGUUCUCAGUUCGGAUCGCAGUCUGCAACUCGACUGCGUGAAGCUGGAAUCGCUAGUAAUCGCGG
rnacentral:rRNA from 1 species